AGCAGCCGCGGUAAUUCCAGCUCCAAUAGCGUAUAUUAAAGUUGUUGCAGUUAAAAAGACUCGUAGUUGAAUUUCGGGGUUAGUAGGUUGGUCAUGCCUCUGGUAUGUACUGGUCUCACUGAUUCCUCCUUCCUGAUGAGCCGUAAUGCCAUUAAUUUGGUGUUGCGGGGAAUUUGGACUGUUACUUUGAAAAAUUAGAGUGUUUAAAGCAAAGCUAACGCUUGAAUACAUUAGCAUGGAAUAAUGAAAUAGGACGUUCGAUCCUAUUUUGUUGGUUUCUAGGAUUGACGUAAUGAUUAAUAGGGAUAGUUGGGGCAUUAGUAUUCGAAUUGUCAGAGGUGAAAUUCUUGGAUUUAUUGAAGACUAACUACUGCGAAAGCAUUUGCCAAGGAUGUUUUCAUUAAUACAAG
rnacentral:rRNA from 1 species